CGGCGCACGGGUGCGUAACGCGUAUGCAAUCUACCUUUUACAGAGGGAUAGCCCAGAGAAAUUUGGAUUAAUACCUCAUAGUAUAACACAACCGCAUGGUUGAGUUAUUAAAGUUCCAACGGUAAAAGAUGAGCAUGCGUCCCAUUAGCUAGAUGGUAAGGUAACGGCUUACCAUGGCGACGAUGGGUAGGGGUCCUGAGAGGGAGAUCCCCCACACUGGUACUGAGACACGGACCAGACUCCUACGGGAGGCAGCAGUGAGGAAUAUUGGUCAAUGGGCGCAAGCCUGAACCAGCCAUGCCGCGUGCAGGAUGACGGUCCUAUGGAUUGUAAACUGCUUUUGUACAGGAAGAAACAGUUCUACGUGUAGAACCUUGACGGUACUGUAAGAAUAAGGAUCGGCUAACUCCGUGCCAGCAGCCGCGGUAAUACGGAGGAUCCAAGCGUUAUCCGGAAUCAUUGGGUUUAAAGGGUCCGUAGGCGGUUUUGUAAGUCAGUGGUGAAAGCCCAUCGCUCAACGGUGGAACGGCCAUUGAUACUGCAAAACUUGAAUUAUUGGGAAGUAACUAGAAUAUGUAGUGUAGCGGUGAAAUGCUUAGAUAUUACAUGGAAUACCAAUUGCGAAGGCAGGUUACUAUCAAUAUAUUGACGCUGAUGGACGAAAGCGUGGGGAGCGAACAGGAUUAGAUACCCUGGUAGUCCACGCCGUAAACGAUGGAUACUAGCUGUUCGAGAGCAAUCUUGAGUGGCUAAGCGAAAGUGAUAAGUAUCCCACCUGGGGAGUACGUUCGCAAGAAUGAAC
rnacentral:rRNA from 1 species